GCCUCUAUUGCCAAGUUGGUAAAGCAUCUCACUAGUAAUGAGAUCGUCAGUCCAAAUCUGGCUGAAGACA
rnacentral:tRNA from 1 species